rnacentral:RNase_P_RNA from 3 species
UAAGCAGAUCGCCUUAUCGCUUUUGUAUUGAUUUUUUUAAUACUAGAGAGGAAAGUCCGGACACCAUAGUGCAAUAUAGUGGUUAACAGCCACCAGUCGUGAGGCUAGGAAAAGUGCAACAGAAAGUAUGUACAGGUAAUGCUGUAGUGAAAUCAGGUAAACUCUAUUAGGUGCAAUGUCAUGUAUACUAACGUUUGAGCGUGCACGCGCGAUUGUUAGAGGGUAGACAGCUAGAGUAUAUUAGUAAUAAUAUACGUAGAUAAAUGAUAAGGAUAUUUUAUAUUUUAAUUUGGAUAAAUCCAGAAACAAGAUUUAAGAUAUACAGAAUCCGGCUUAUAGAACUACUUAGAAA